rnacentral:rRNA from 1 species
UGAGGAGUCACCACUGGUACCAUGGGAGCCCUUGGGAUAUGGCUAAGGCUGGGUGGUCAGUACUUGGAUGGGAGACCUCCCAGGAAAACUCUGGUGAUGCUUCAG